CGCAGUUAAUUAGUGAUUAAUACGCGGUUUAAUUACCACGUCCUCGUCGCGACGCCUUCCCGCCCUCUCAUCCUAACCUCGAAUACGUCCAUCUCGUAUUCGUUGACGUCGUCAUUAUAACGUUUUUGUGUAUAUACAGUGUGUCCUCCGGCAGUGACGUACCUAUUUGAAAGUGUUUCAAGUUGCUGGGACCUUCCAGACGCGCAGAAUAUUAACUUUUUGGGAGAUACUUCAGGAUAUUACAGG
rnacentral:lncRNA from 1 species